UACGGGGGGUGCGAGCGUUGUCCGGAAUCACUGGGCGUAAAGGGCGCGUAGGUGGCCUGAUAAGGGUGUGGUGAAAGUCCGGGGCUCAACCCCGGAUCUGCCGUGCCGACUGUUAGGCUGGAGUACUGUAGGGGCAGGCGGAAUUCCGGGUGUAGCGGUGAAAUGCGUAGAUAUCGGGAGGAACACCUGUGGCGAAAGCGGCUCUCUGGACCACAACUGACGCUGAGGCGCGAAAGCUAGGGGAGCAAACAGG
rnacentral:rRNA from 1 species